AUGCCACUGGGGCGAUUGGGUCUGAAUUUCCAACAGUACAGCUCCCCAAAUCUCGUUUGCCUCUUCCAUCUGCCAGAGAGACGCGGCGUUCAGUGCAUGUCAGGGACUUUCCCUAGCCCAUACAUGUACUUGGGUUGGACCAUGGAUAUCAUAUGGGCCGGGCCUGGCUGCACCACUGACCGCUACGAGCUACAAGUACCCGAGACGAAGCAACGAGAGACCCAUCCAGUGGAUCACGAACCCGGCGGCGGCGGCACCCUGUUCUUCCCCUACCUUUCUUCCCCCAAUUCAUGUAUCUGA
rnacentral:rRNA from 1 species